AGUGAACGCUGGCGGCGUGCUUAACACAUGCAAGUCGAACGAGAACAGAAGAGAGCUUGCUCUUUUGCUGCUAAGUGGCGCACGGGUGAGUAAUAUAUAGGUAAUAUGCCUCUUACUAAGGGAUAAUUGAUGGAAACGUCUUGUAAUACCUUAUAUGCCUUUUGAACAUAAGUUCGUAAAGGGAAAGAUUUAUCGGUAAGAGAUUAGCCUGUACGGUAUCAGAUAGUUGGUGGGGUAAUGGCCUACCAAGUCUAUGACACCUAACUGGUUUGAGAGGAUGAUCAGUCACACUGGAACUGAGACACGGUCCAGACUCCUACGGGAGGCAGCAGUGGGGAAUAUUGCACAAUGGACGAAAGUCUGAUGCAGCAACGCCGCGUGGAGGAUGACACAUUUCGGUGCGUAAACUCCUUUUANAUGAGAAGAUAAUGACGGUAUCAUAUGAAUAAGCACCGGCUAACUCCGUGCCAGCAG
rnacentral:rRNA from 1 species